rnacentral:lncRNA from 1 species
UUUAUGAAAAGAUAGUUUGUAUUGUGUGCGUUGAGGCCUGUAGUUGAUAGUAAAAAAAAAUAUGCAUGGGAGUUGAAAACGAGAUGUGUGAAAAAAUGGCCAUUAUUUCAAGGCAAACAAAUCUGACUCGUAAUUUUUGCAUGUAGGAAAGUAAUCAGGUGGUAUAAUAUAAUUUGUCGCCGAAUGAUGGGUUGUUAAUGGGUGUGAGUCAUUGUAACACUGAUAAGGGGGUGGACAUAAUUAUGGGAACUAUGGAAUGAGAGUACUAGAAAUGAGAAUUUGAUGGAUGAAAGCUUGAGACAGG